rnacentral:rRNA from 1 species
UACAGAGGUCUCAAGCGUUGUCCGGAUUUAUUGGGCGUAAAGAGCUCGUAGGCGGUUGAGUAAGUCGGGUGUGAAAACUCUGGGCUUAACCCAGAGCCGCCACCCGAUACUGCUCUGACUUGAGUUCGGUAGGGGAGCAGGGAAUUCCUAGUGUAGCGGUGAAAUGCGCAGAUAUUAGGAGGAACACCGGUGGCGAAGGCGCUGCUCUGGGCCGAUACUGACGCUGAGGAGCGAAAGCGUGGGUAGCAAACAGG